rnacentral:lncRNA from 1 species
AAUAAUUGCCACAAACAAGACUAUAAGUAGGAGAACUUCACAUUAGAUUCUGUUGUCAUAUAGAGAAAUAAGUAGACAAGAACAUAGAAAUGGAAAUAGAAGGAAAAAAUAGCCUAGGAAUUAACAUCAGAAAUGUGUCGGUCUUGCAACACUUCAUCUCGUUUGCUACAACCUACACCAGAAAAUGAGAUUAUUUGAUCAAAGCAAGGAUAUGGG